UACGUAGGUGACCAGCGUUGUCCAGAUUUACUGGGCGUAAAGAGCGCGCAGGCGGUCGUUCAAGUCGAGUGUGAAAGCCCCCGGCUCAACUGGGGAGGGUCACUUGAUACUGAUCGACUCGAAGGCAGGAGAGGGAAGCGGAAUUCCCGGUGUAGUGGUGAAAUGCGUAGAUAUCGGGAGGAACACCAGUGGCGAAGGCGGCUUCCUGGCCUGUUCUUGACGCUGAGGCGCGAAAGCUAGGGGAGCAAACGGG
rnacentral:rRNA from 1 species